CUACGGGAUGCAGCAGUGGGGAAUAUUGGACAAUGGGGGAAACCCUGAUCCAGCAAUGCCGCGUGUGUGAAGAAGGCCUGCGGGUUGUAAAGCACUUUCGGUUGGGAGGACUGCUUCUAGCACUAAUAUUGUUGGAAGUUGACGUUACCUUCAGAAGAAGCACCGGCUAACUCCGUGCCAGCAGCCGCGGUAAUACGGAGGGUGCAAGCGUUAAGCGGAAUUACUGGGCGUAAAGCGCGCGUAGGCGGCUAGAUCAGUCGGGUGUGAAAGCCCCGGGCUUAACCUGGGAACUGCAUCCGAUACUGUCUAGCUUGAGUACAGGAGAGGAGAGUGGAAUUCCACAUGUAGCGGUGAAAUGCGUAGAUAUGUGGAGGAACACCAAUGGCGAAGGCAGAUCUCUGGAUUGAUACUGACGCUGAGGUGCGAAAGCGUGGGGAGCAAAGAGGAUUAGAUACCCCGGUAGUC
rnacentral:rRNA from 1 species